CAAGUAGAGGUUGCGCGAAGCAAGAGUAAGGUAUCGGAUGUUCCAGAGACAGAAGAAGAUGCCGGAAAGGGCGGGCGCCGAAGAUUUUCAGAGUUUCUGGAUUUGGAGAUCUGGGUGUAUGGUGAAGAACCGUAUGACUGUCAUCCUGGCGGAUGGAGAGCUACUU
rnacentral:ncRNA from 1 species